rnacentral:lncRNA from 1 species
AUGACUUGGGCCAAUUACACGACUGCAAAGCUAGAGCUGCCAACAGGGCUCCAGGGAGCUUGGCUUCUGUAGAAGUUCUAAGGAAGCGGUACGAACUCCACGGCGGUGGGGCGCUAACUAGCAGGGACCCCUGCAAGUGUUGGUCGGGGGCCUCGAGCUGCCUGAGCUGACACGAGGGGAGGGGUCUGUGUAGCCAACAGGUGACCGAAGGGCUUGCCUGCCCACAGCUUACUUGGCCAAGGGGUUUCUGAAGUUCCUGCCGGCAAACUUAGCCUUGCUGCCCAGCUCCUCUUCAAUUCUUGGGAAGGAGAAAGGUAAAGAGAUGGGGAGGAAAAAAGAAAAGUCAGACCUCAAGUUUUAAGUUUUCCCAUCCUAGAUGUGGUCAAAGACACAGCCCCACUCCUGGGAAGUUGAGAACACAGAACUCUCCAGUUUGUCCACCUUCUUUAAACCCUCUAAACUUGUGCUUCUCUGAGAAGCCAGAUAUAGAAAAGUAUUUAGUUCUCCUCAUCCCAACUCACCAUGCUAGGUGCCCUCCACCCACCGCCCCUUCUCUUCCUCUCCUCUCCCCGUCAGUGUUGCAGAGGAGCAAAGUAAAAUGUCAGCAUUGCCAUUUCUUGGAAUAUAAAAAUUCUAAUGCUUUUGUUUUUUAAAAAAUAUUGAAGGGACAACAAAUAAAUGGCAUGGGGAGAAAAGGAGAGUGACCUUAUUAAAAGACAAAAUGUGUGAGCUGUUUGGAUCUUGAUGUUAAAAAAAAAAAAAAAAAAAAAGGCCAACACAUUUUGGGGCCAGGCACAGUGGGAGGAUCACCCGAGGUCAGCUUGACCAAUAUGGUGAAACCCCGUCUCUAUUAAAAAUACAAAACAAUUAGCCAGGCAUGGUGGUGGGCACCUGUAAUCCCAGCUACUCGGGAGGCUCAGACAGGAGAAUUGCUUGAAUCUGGGAGGCAGAGGUUGCAGUGAGCCAAGACUGAGCCACUGCACUCCAGCCUGGGCGACAGAGUGAGAUCCCUCUCAAAAAAAUAAAAAUAAAAUUCCCCAGCAAAAAAAGAAUGGGAGUUUGAGGCUGCAGUGAGCUAUGACUGCCCCACUGCACUCCAGCCUGAGUGACAUGGCAAGACCCUGUCUCAAACAAACAAAACAACAAAAAAGCCCUGCGUCUACUGUUCACCUGCUUUUUUGUAUAUGUUUGAAAAUUUCCAGGAUACAGUUUGAAUGAAGGGGUAAUAUGGGAGAACUUAGCGGGGUGGCGGGCGGGGGGACAAGUCUCCUGGUGUUCAGGGGCUUCCCAAGGACACAGACAGGAAAGGGAGACCAGAACAGCCCCACAGCGCUCACAAGUGGAAACCCAGCCAUGUGCCCUUCGGCCUUUUCUUCCUCCCUCCCAGCCCUGGCUCCACAUCCACAAACAGGGGUUAAAUGCGCUGAAACAGAUCAUAUGAAGGAGCUCUCUGAAAGCUCUAAGAAAGUCAUGCAUCAGCUGUCAAAGGGGGUCCCAUUCUUUCUCACCAGAAGAGGGCAGCACUGUGUGGAACAGGCUCCUGCCUCUGGUGGCGCUGCAGUGGGUGGGUAGGGGGAGUCUAGGCCUAACUCUGUCCUGACCUAAGCCUGCUCAGGGCCUGGCUGUCUGCACUGUGCACCUGCACCUGUACAUGUUCCCAGAGCCAGGAGCUCCUGGGGGAGGGCAGUGCCUACACUGAGUGCAGGCCCCCACCUAGUGAACCACAGGCCCCUUGUUCUCAGGAGCCCUCCUUACCUGAGGAGCUGGUUGUACUUGGCCAAGCGCUCAGAUCGGCAAGGGGCACCAGUCUUGAUCUAGGAGAAAAGAAAGGCCAUUUGCUUACAGCGGACAAGCUUUGCAGGCAUUUCUGGCAGGGAGAGGGUGUGGUGUCAGAGAGAGAAUUUCUAGAGGAUCUGAUGCUAGGAAAGUGGGGGCCACAACAUACAGGCAGGGCGCUCAUGCCCCCAUUCUGUUCAGCCUCAGAAACAAGAGCACUGACUCAGGGGACAUGAGCAAAACGGGGACAGACAUGGAGCCUCACUGGUUUUGGGUCUUCCUAGGAAGUUGAGGUCAGAGAAGAAAGGAGGAGACGCUCAUUCUUACCUGCCCAGUGCACAGCCCCACAACCAGGUCAGCGAUGAAGGUAUCUUCAGUCUCCCCCGAACGAUGAGACACCCUGGGUAGUCCUUGAUGAAGGACUUGUACAGGUCAGCCAGCUGGUCAGGCGAGAUGUACCUGCUGGGGUCAUCGGGAGACUUGAAGUCCAGGUCAUACUUCCCAGACCUGAAGAACUCGGAGGCCGCUACGUCCAUGCCGAUGACCACCUUAUCAGUGUAGCCAGCUUUCCCAAUAGCAGUCUUCAGCAGCUCCAG